GCCGAGGUAGCUCAGCUAGGUUAGAGCGCCUGAUUGUGGAUCAGGAGGUCGGCAGUUCAACUCUGCCCCUCGGUA
rnacentral:tRNA from 1 species